rnacentral:rRNA from 1 species
UGACGCUGAGGUUGGUACUUGUACCGACUGGAUGAGCAGCGAACGGGUGAGUAACGCGUGGGGAAUCUGCCUUUGAGCGGGGGACAACAUUUGGAAACGAAUGCUAAUACCGCAUAAAAACUUUAAACACAAGUUUUAAGUUUGAAAGAUGCAAUUGCAUCACUCAAAGAUGAUCCCGCGUUGUAUUAGCUAGUUGGUGAGGUAAAGGCUCACCAAGGCGAUGAUACAUAGCCGACCUGAGAGGGUGAUCGGCCACAUUGGGACUGAGACACGGCCCAAACUCCUACGGGAGGCAGCAGUAGGGAAUCUUCGGCAAUGGACGAAAGUCUGACCGAGCAACGCCGCGUGAGUGAAGAAGGUUUUCGGAUCGUAAAACUCUGUUGGUAGAGAANANCGUUGGUGAGAGUGGAAAGCUCAUCAAGUGACGGUAACUACCCAGAAAGGGACGGCUAACUACGUGCCAGCAGCCGCGGUAAUACGUAGGUCCCGAGCGUUGUCCGGAUUUAUUGGGCGUAAAGCGAGCGCAGGUGGUUNAUNAAGUCUGGNGUAAANGCAGUGGCUCANCCNUUGUAUGCAUUG